rnacentral:rRNA from 1 species
AGGUGCUUACCUGCAGUUAAUGUUAUAAACAUAGCGAACGGGUGAGUAACACGUAAAUAAUCUACCUUUUAAUUCAGAAUAAUUAUUUUAUAUAAAAAUACUGAAUAAAUAAAAUAAAGUUUUAAAAACGUUAAAAGAUGAGUUUGCGCAAGAUUAGGUAGUUGGUAAUUUAAUAGAUUACCAAGCCUACUAUCUUUAGCUGGUUUGAAAGAAUGAUCAGCCACAAUGGGACUGAGACACGGCCCAAACUUUUUUAAAGGCAGCAGUGGGGAAUUUUGGACAAUGAGCGAAAGCUUGAUCAGCAAUACCAAGUGAGUGAGGAAGGCUAAAUAGGCUGUAAAGCUCUUUCAUUAAGGAGGAAAAUGACAUUACUUAAAAAAGAAGUUCCGGCUAAUACCCGUGCCAGCAGCCGCGGUAAUACGGGAGGAGCGAGCAUUAUUCGGAAUGAUUAGGCGUAAAGGGUUUGUAGGUUGUUUUUUAAGUUGAAAAAAAAAAAAUAAAGCUUAACUUUAUAAAUUUUUUCAAAACUGAUAAACUUGAGUAUAAAUAGAGGAUAAUGGAAUUUCUAUUGAAGUGAUAAAAUACGUUGAUAAUAGAAGGAAGACCAACAGCGAAGGCAAUUAUCUGGGUAUAUACUGACACUGAGAAACGAAAGCUUGGGUAGCAAACGGGAUUAGAAACCCCGGUAGUCCAUGCUGUAAACGAUGAGUGCUCAUAUUUAGAAUUUUUAGAUAUCAAGCUAACGCAUUAAGCACUCCGCCUGAAAAGUAUAAUCGCAAGAUUGAAAUUCAAAGGAAUUGACGGGAGUCUACACAAGCGGUGGAGCAUGUGGUUUAAUUCGAUAAUACGCG